UACGGAGGGAGCUAGCGUUGUCCGGAAUUAUUGGGCGUAAAGGGCGCGUAGGCGGCCUGAUAAGUCAGAUGUGAAAGCCCCAGGCUCAACCUGGGAUCUGCAUUUGAAACUGUCGGGCUAGAGUGCAGGAGAGGAAAGUGGAAUUCCUAGUGUAGCGGUGAAAUGCGUAGAGAUUAGGAGGAACACCAGUGGCGAAGGCGACUUUCUGGACUGUAACUGACGCUGAGGCGCGAAAGCGUGGGGAGCAAACAGGG
rnacentral:rRNA from 1 species